AUUUGGCAUGGUGACAUGUGCCUGUAAUCACAGGGAGAUUGAGACUGGCAGAUACAUUGAGUGUGGGAGUUCUGAAUUACAGUGGGAUAAAUCAGUAGUGUGUCUACGCUAAGUCUGGCAUUAAUAUGGUGAUCCCCCAGGAGCACAGGGCCACUAGAGUGCCUAAGAAGGGGAGAAAGACCCUGGGUUGAAAAUGGAGCAAGUCAAAGCUCCUGUGCCAGUCAAAGUGGGAUUAGUCCAUGAGUAGCCUCUGCACUUCUAGCCUGAGAGAUAUAGGGAGACCUGGCUUUA
rnacentral:SRP_RNA from 1 species